rnacentral:rRNA from 1 species
UACGGAGGGUGCGAGCGUUGUCCGGAAUCACUGGGCGUAAAGGGCGCGUAGGCGGCAGGCCAAGCGUGCGGUGAAGGUCCGGGGCUCAACCCCGGAUCUGCCGUGCGGACUGGUUUGCUGGAGCACUGUAGAGGCGAGUGGAAUUCCGGGUGUAGCGGUGGAAUGCGUAGAGAUCCGGAAGAACACCGGUGGCGAAGGCGGCUCGCUGGGCAGUGGCUGACGCUGAGGCGCGACAGCGUGGGGAGCAAACAGG